GUUGAACCGACAUACAAAGGUGUUUCUGCAUCAGUCGACAUCGUCUCAUACACAUGAGCUUUGGCAAAAUUUUCUGCACCAACAUCGCGGAUCAUGUCCUCUAAUUUGUCUUCAUCUGGUCAAUCUUCUUCCAUGGUGGAAUCAAUAACGUUUUCAGUUUGCGAGUCAGUCGGAAAGUGCAUUUCUUCGUCGUGCCAUAUCCAUGUUGUAUAGCAUCUUAGGAAACCAUCACAGAUAAGAUGUUCUCUAAUUUGGGUUGCGUUCAACUUUCUC
rnacentral:lncRNA from 1 species